UACGUAGGGUGCGAGCGUUGUCCGGAAUUAUUGGGCGUAAAGAGCUCGUAGGCGGUUUGUCACGUCUGCUGUGAAAUCCCGAGGCUCAACCUCGGGCCUGCAGUGGGUACGGGCAGACUGGAGUGCGGUAGGGGAGAAUGGAAUUCCUGGUGUAGCGGUGGAAUGCGCAGAUAUCAGGAGGAACACCAACGGCGAAGGCAGCACUCUGGGCCGGUACUGACGCUGAGGAGCGAAAGCGUGGGGAGCGAACAGG
rnacentral:rRNA from 1 species